rnacentral:misc_RNA from 1 species
GAUGAAGAACGUAGCGAAAUGCGAUACGUAAUGUGAAUUGCAGAAUUCAGUGAAUCAUCGAGUCUUUGAACGCACAUUGCGCCCCCUGGUAUUCCGGGGGGCAUGCCUGUCCGAGCGUCAUUGCUGCCCUCAAGCCCGGCUUGUGUGUUGGGUCUCGUCCCCCUUCCCGGGGGGACGGGCCCGAAAGGCAGCGGCGGCACCGUGUCCGGUCCUCGAGCGUAUGGGGCUUUGUCACCCGCUCUGUAGGCCCGGCCGGCGCUUGCCGAUCAACCAAAACUUUUUUCCAGGUUGACCUCGGAUCAGGUAGGGAUACCCGCUGAACUUAUGCAUAUCAAUAAGCGGAGGA